rnacentral:rRNA from 1 species
GACGAACGCUGGCGGCGUGCUUAACACAUGCAAGUCGAGCGGUAAGGCCUCUUUUGGGGUACACUAGCGGCGAACGGGGGAGUAACACGUGGGUGACCUUCCCUGGUCGCGGGGAUAAGCGUGGGAAACUGGGCCCAAUACCGGAUAUGACCUUUCGUGGCAUGGGGUUUGGUGUAAAGUUUUUUCGGCUUGGGAUGGGCCCGCGUCCUAUCAGCUUGUUGGUGGGGUGAUGGCCUACCAAGGCGACGACGGGUAGCCGGCCUGAGAGGGCGACCGGCCACACUGGGACUGAGACACGGCUGGGAAUCAUACGGGAGGGAGCAGUGGGGAGUAUUGCGCAAUGCGCGGGAGUGUGAAGGAGCGACGCAGCGUGGGGGAUGACGGCUUGCGGGUUGUAGAACUAUGUCGACCCCGACGAAUUUUGACGGUAGGGGUAGAAGAAGCACCGGCCAACUACGUG